UACGCUUAUGUGUAAGCUGGACCAGCUGCUUUUUCUGUAGAACAUUUUUGCUUGAAAGUAUGACAGACAACCUCAGGUUACUGAGCCUUGUGUAUUUGGUAGGCAUUUUCUUGAAAAUGAACAAAGCGAGCCUGUCGUUUUAAGGGAAACAACUGAUGGUAUUUGUUGCUAAUGAGAAACUUUGAGCUUUCAAGUGAAAAUGAGAAUUCCAGAAAACUUGUGUCUGCCAUGGUGAGUUUGAUAUCUUUAUAAUACUUGAAGAUCUUUCAGAUGAGAUUGGUGGUGAUAUUAACAAAUCUGCUGUUUUACAUUGUAUAACGAAAUGUGUCAACAUUUGGAAGAUCUGCAUAAUUCAGUGAACCGAGGUUUUUCUAAAUAAUCAAUACAUGAUGUUAUAAAAUCAUGCAUGGGUAAAAGAGUCAUUCAAAGUGCAAGAUAGAUAGGUGGGUUUUAACCUAACAGACAGGAGAAGUUCAUCGAUAUGAUUUCCAGUUCCACCCUGCAACUAAACUCUGAGAAAUUAUAGUUAAAUUUGGUGCACAAUGAUCUGGAAAGGCUAUUAAAAUACUCUUAUGUUUCCAACUUUAAAUCUAUGUAAAGGCCAGAUUUUCUUCAUGUACUUCAACCAAAGCAUUAUAACACAACAGAUUGAAUGCAGAAGCACGUGAGAAUCCAGCUUGCUUCUAUUAAGCUGGAUAUUAAAGAGAUUUGCAAAAACGUUCUAUUUGUUCUCUACAGCUGCUAUAAAAAUAUUCCACAAACUUAGUGGCUUAACAACUAACACACACUUAUUAUCUUAGAGGUCUGACGUCAGAAGCCAACACAGGUCUCCUUGGGCUGACAUCGAGGUGUCACAAAACUCUGCUCCUUUUUCGAGGUGCUAGUGAAGAAUCUGUGUCCUUGCCUUGGACAGCUUCUGGAGGCCACGCUCAUUCCUUGGCUCGUGGUCCCCUUCCUCCAUCAUCAAAGCCAGCGACGUCGCGUCUCCCUCUGACUCUUCUUUAGCAGUCUUGCCUCCUUCCAACCGCAGCUGGGGAAGUUCUCCACUUCAAGGAGUCACGUGAUUGAGCCCGCCUGGAUAACCCGGGCCACCUCCCUACCUCAAGGUCCUCAACCCCAAUCUUUAAAGUCCCCUUUGCCCUUUAAAGUAACAUAUUCACAGGUUCCAGGGGAUAUCUUUGGGGGCCGUUAUUCUGCCUCCCACAAAUGUAAAACGAGGCCACUUUUCUCACUAAAUUUUUUUUGCAAAAUAGUUCUUUUUCAUAAAAAUGUUAUGUUAACAUGUCAUUGGUUGUUAUUACUUUUAAAUGAAUUAUUAUUUUAAAAAAUUUCUCGGUUUUGAUUUCUAAUACAGUAAAUAUUGGUAGAUGUAACCCACAUAAAAGCUUUUUGGAGUCCUCAGUUUGAAUAGCUUAAAGGAACAGUGAAACCAAACAGUUGAGAAUUGCUGGCUUAAAUUAUUGAAAAGGUGAGACCAGACAACCUAAGAGCUCCUUAAAAUAAUGCAGACCUCCUCCAAGGGGCAAGGAGACCAUCCCAGCUACGGCGCAGAGAAACGCCGGCAACGUCAUGUUGUUGGGUGAAUUGAACGGACUCUUUCAGGCAAUUGCUGGCAAUUCCUAGACGUACUGGCGAAGCCCUGUCGAGGUAAGAGCUGCUCCAGGGUGUCCUUCAAGCAGCCCUUCUGUCCACAGUGUCACAGUGUCAUUCAUGACCGGCAAUGCCUGCAGAUCUGUUGCCGGCACCCGGCCCACGGCUGGGUUUCAUGCCAGGCAGACCGGCUCUGUCCUAGAAGCCUAUUGGUGAAAUUAUUUGGACAUGGAAUGCCAUGGAACGUGGCUCUGCAUGGCCCGUGGCAAAGAAACGGCUCCAGGCUCACUCCGUGGUGCCCAUGGAGAAGGCCUGACAUUGUUAGGGUUCAUCUAUCCUUCUGUUCAUCUCCUUUUCACAAUAAGCAAGGCCUUCCAACUUCAAAAAUUCCUACCAAACUCUCACUUAAGAAAAUUUCCAAAAGAAAUAGUGGAAAAAAAGAUAUAAGACAGAAGAAGGAAAAUGUUAGUGGGUGAUUUUUCUUUUCUUCUAUUUACUUUUCUGUAUUUUCUAAAUUUCUUACAAAGUAUACAAACUUUAUAACAAGAAAAAUGACUGUUUUUGAAGUACCCACCACCAAAAACAUUAAUGCAGUAAAUAAAUCUUUUAGAAAAGCUUAAAAAGAAAAAUAUUGCAUGGAACUAUAAGAUGCUAAAUGUCAAACAGAUGAAUCAGAUCAGGCUAGGCUAGGCGGCAGUAACAAAUGACUCCCAGUCUCAAGGGCUGAAGUCAAGGAAGGUUUAUUUAUUGCUCAGGGGACAUGUCCUUCACGUGGUAGCUGAGGACCAGCCUAGUGGAGCAGCCUCCAUCUGGAACACAGCUGGUCUCCUGCAAAAGGGACACGAGAGUGGAGUGAAGCGUGCCCAGGAUCUCAGAGCUGCCGUGAAGCACUUCUGUCGACAUUGGCCAAAGUCACAUGGCCAGUCACAUGCUCAAAAGAAAUGUAUGAUGCCCCGAAAGUGAGGGGGCAGAAUAUUGGUGAACGGUAAUACAGUCUGUCAUUUCCAUGUCAACCAAGACAAAUCAAAACUCGAGGUAAAAUAGAGGAGAGAGGAAGGGGCGGGAAGACAACCAGCAUUCAUUGAGCGUCAGCUGGGCUCCUGUCACUUUUCUCCUAUUUCUCUUUUAAUUUUCUCCAUGUUCCUCGGAGGGAGAUCAUUAUAUUCCUUCCCAAAUGAGAAAACCGAGGCCCACUGAGGUUAAGUUAUUGCCCCGGGGUCAUGCAGCAAAUAAGUGGAAGAGGUGGAUUUCAAACCCAGGGGCAUCUGGUUCUAAAGUUCAUGUGGUUUCCACUGCCUCACACUGUCUCCCAGGCAGUCUUUGGUUUCUAAACUGUGUUAAAAGAAAAAACAAUCCUCUGAACACUAAAACCCGAAGCAGAGAUGUUCACGGGCAGUGAGGAAGACAAGCGAACAGACCCUUAUAACACCUCGCAGAAAUGCCGUGCAAAGGAACGGAAGCAGAGAUGGCUGCAGGUGGUUUAGCACGGCCGGUGGAACACAUGGUGUAUGGAGAACGGGGCUGAAAAGAUCUGUGUAUUAAGGAAGCUUUGGUUUAGCAGCAUGUGAAGGAAUCGCAAAAUAACAAUGGGCUAAACAAGAUAAAAGCUGGUUUUCCCUCCCGGAGGCAAAGUAAGGAGGUGAGCACUUCUAAGCUGGUGGCCCCACAAUCAUCGGAGACAGAGCGCCUUCCAUUUUGCUGCUUCUCCAUCCUCAUAGUCAUCAUGGUCCAAGAUGGCCGCUUGGGCUCUGGCUAGCACCUCCAUAAUCUAGAUACCAAGAAGAAUGGGAGUAAGGACGUGCCGUUCUUCCAUCUUGUUAACCAGAAGUUACUUACACGGCUUCACCUAGAGCGGUCUGUGGGAUUUCUGAGUGGAGCAGCCCAUGGGCAGUUGUCCACAUGUCUGGGGCCCUGGAGAGAGGACUAAGUUGGAGAUUCACCACUGGGCUUCAUCAACAGAGAGGUGGCAGCUCUGGGCGUGGCUGGGUUCCCCAAGGAGAGUGUGCACAGUGAGGACAGAACCCCACCGAGGCCUGGAAGCAAGGAUGGACAGAGGAGGUGAACUCUGUGAUGAAGGAGAGAAAUAAGGAGAGCACGGUAUCAAGGGGAAAAAUUAGCAACCAAUAGUGCCCCGUGGUAAAAGUGAGGCUACUUAGGAGGGAUGUCAGGGAAAUUGACAGAUGAGAAGCUCCAAGAAUUGGUCCCUCCACUUAAGCAAACAUUAGGCUGGCAAAAACUGACAGAAUCAGCUUUUUUGAAACUCUGGAGUGUAAUUAAAUACUUACAGCAACCAGGAGAGUGAUUCAUGAAGAAAAAGACUCCUAAAUUUCAGUAAGAAAGUGCUGCAGCAUUUUUGCUUACCUGCCUCCCAUCUCCCCCCCUCCCCCGGCCCAGCAGCAGCCAUGGGGACAAGAGCCCCCAUUCCUGGCGUAGCCUGCUGGCACAAAAACACGGUUGUGUCACUGACUAACGCCCCAAGUAACUCAAAGGAGGUUUGGGAAGCACUUAACUGUUUCUCGAAAUUGUUUUCUAGUUAUGUUAGGAGAUGCAAUCACCGACUGCCUUGAACCGGUCCAAACCCCAUCACAAGAGUGACACCUGCGCAGAGGGGCCGAGAGGUAUCCAAGAGUUACCUCUGCUUCAUUUUAAUGUUAACAUUUCCGCCCCAGGAGGGGCUUAGGCCUUAUCACCAUAACAUGCGAUGUAUGUGGAGGCAUGUUUUCCAACUGC
rnacentral:lncRNA from 1 species